UGUUUUUGGGGUCCCCAAAACUAUAGACAAUGAUAUUUUGCUGAUGGACAAAACUUUUGGGUUUGACACUGCUGUUGAGGAAGCACAACGAGCCAUUAAUUCAGCUUACAUCGAGGCACAUAGUGCAUACCAUGGUAUAGGAAUUGUAAAGUUGAUGGGUCGUAGCAGUGGAUUUAUUACUAUGCAUGCAUCCCUGGCUAGUGGACAAAUCGAUAUAUGCUUGAUACCAGAGGUACCUUUCCAUUUACAUGGUCGUCAUGGUGUUUUG